GGCAUUCAUUUGCUGGAUGCACUUGAUGUAGUCAUGUUAAUUGUUGGACCUAAUCAGAUUUUCAGUGGAGGCACCACCGCCUGCUGAAGAGAUACUUGGGGCAAAAUCUGAUUGCUAAAAAUUAUUUAAAGAAAUAAUUAGUUAAGAACCUAUCCAUGGAUGCACUAGUGUUGGCCGAGCCACAUUCGAGCCCAAAUGCAGUCUGUG
rnacentral:lncRNA from 1 species